GGCUCAGGACGAACGCGGGCGGCGUGCCUAACACAUGCAAGUCGAACGGGAUCCAUGGAGUGCUUGCACUCUUGAAGAUCUAGUGGCGAACGGGUGAGUAACACGUGAGAAACCUGCCCCAGACUCUGGGAUAACCUCGGGAAACCGAAGCUAAUACCGGAUAUUCUCCUUUGGUCGCAUGGCCAGUUGAGGAAAGUUUUUCGGUCUGGGAGGGUCUCGCGGCCUAUCAGCUAGUUGGUGAGGUAACGGCUCACCAAGGCUACGACGGGUAGCUGGUUUGAGAGAACGAUCAGCCACACUGGAACUGAGACACGGUCCAGACUCCUACGGGAGGCAGCAGUGGGGAAUCUUGCGCAAUGGGCGAAAGCCUGACGCAGCAACGCCGCGUGCGGGAUGAAGGCCCUCGGGUUGUAAACCGCUUUCAGCAGGGACGAAAAUGACGGUACCUGCAGAAGAAGCCCCGGCUAACUACGUGCCAGCAGCCGCGGUAAUACGUAGGGGGCAAGCGUUGUCCGGAUUUAUUGGGCGUAAAGAGCUCGUAGGCGGUUCCGUAAGUCGAGUGUGAAAAAUCUGGGCUCAACCCAGUGGAGCACUCGAUACUGCGGUGACUAGAGUACGGUAGAGGAGUGUGGAAUUCCUGGUGUAGCGGUGAAAUGCGCAGAUAUCAGGAGGAACACCAACGGCGAAGGCAGCACUCUGGGCCGGUACUGACGCUGAGGAGCGAAAGCGUGGGGAGCAAACAGGAUUAGAUACCCUGGUAGUCCACGCCGUAAACGUUGGGCACUAGGUGUGGGGAGGAAUCAACCCUCUCCGUGCCGUAGCUAACGCAUUAAGUGCCCCGC
rnacentral:rRNA from 1 species